CCUACGGGUGGCAGCAGUGAGGAAUAUUGGUCAAUGGGCGAGAGUCUGAACCAGCCAAGUCGCGUGAAGGAUGACGGCCCUACGGGUUGUAAACUUCUUUUGUCAGGGAGCAAUUGAGUCCACGUGUGGGCUUAGCGAGAGUACCUGAAGAAAAAGCAUCGGCUAACUCCGUGCCAGCAUCCGCGGUAAUACGGAGGGAGCGAGCGUUGUCCGGAAUUACUGGGCGUAAAGGGCGCGUAGGCGGGAACUUAAGUUAGAUGUGAAAACUCCGGGCUUAACCUGGAGACUGCAUUUAAAACUGGGUUUCUUGAGGGCAGGAGAGGAAAGUGGAAUUCCUAGUGUAGCGGUGAAAUGCGUAGAUAUUAGGAGGAACACCAGUGGCGAAGGCGACUUUCUGGACUGUACCUGACGCUGAGGCGCGAAAGCAUGGGGAGCGAACAGGAUUAGAUACCCCAGUAGUC
rnacentral:rRNA from 1 species